GCAGAGACAGACAGCCACGCUGGCUGUUGGAUUUCGUUGAAUAUUGAACCGUUUGCCGAAUUGCGUCGGGUGUUUUGGAGCAGCGUGAUGUGUGCCAUAAAUGCCGGUCGACCCGACGUGAGAAUAAAAAGUGCCUGCCUCUGUCUGUGAGUGGACUGUCUCUCUGUGUUUGUGCAGAGUCUUGCUGCAGUAGUAAUUUAAACAGGUCUUCCAAAUUGAAUCUGACGAACCAUGGUUACAGUACGGCAACGGUCUUUCCUGUUGGUUGCCAGGCUAAGGUGGCUGUGGCUUACCAGAGUCAUGGAGCUGUAGGAGUUCACAAAGCGGAAGUUAAGGACCGACUCGGCAGACAGUCCAGCAAAAAAAGACGUGUUUCGGAGUGUCGUGAGGAAGAGUCCUUUUCCCCCAUCAAGUCAUGUUUUUUGCCCGUGUCUUAAAUGUCUACAAAUAGACAGUCAACGGAGUACCGAGGGUGACCAGUGCCAAGUGACCAAGGAGCGAGCUGGUUGAAAGAUGGAGCAAAGCGGCGCCAGGGCUACGACGAGAGGCUUCAAAACUGGACCAUGGACACCUUUUUUCUAUACGUUACAUUUUUUUCUAUGAUUUUGAUGAUGAAGAUUUGAAUGGAUUCAUUGACCUAUAUCCUCCGUGGUUUAUCCUCCUUUCCAUGAAGUCUGCUUCGAUUCGAGUCAUGACACCGAGAAGAAGUGAAAAUAUAAAGACAGAUUGAUGGAGGCUGUGGUCCUCGGCUAGCUGUCACUGCCGGUCGCCAUGGUGAAGGAGGGAUUUAUGGCACCCACUGGCCAGUGAAGAUGUAUAUACAUCAUGUUGGUCCAGGGCUGUUGCAUCCAGAUGGACCUGGGCCAUCCAUUGUCUGUCAGGGACACAGCUGUCUGAGAAGUGCCGUCCUCCCCUCUCCUCCUUUCUUACGCCGCUAACGAGUGUUUCACCCGCCACAUAGGAUGAUGUCGUCUAUAGGGGAAGGAGGGCAUUUGUCUCAGUGCACAAGGUUUUCAAGGAGCCAGA